UACGGAGGGGGCAAGCGUUGUUCGGAAUUACUGGGCGUAAAGGGCGCGCAGGCGGCUGCUCAAGUCAGGCGUGAAAGGCCUGGGCUCAACCCGGGAAUUGCGCUUGAGACUGGGCUGGCUUGAGUGCGGGAGAGGAUGGUGGAAUUCCCAGUGUAGAGGUGAAAUUCGUAGAUAUUGGGAAGAACACCGGUGGCGAAGGCGGCCAUCUGGACCGCAACUGACGCUGAGGAGCGAAAGCGUGGGGAGCAAACGGG
rnacentral:rRNA from 1 species